CCUGAUAGACUGUAUAGUCCUCCUCUUGGUUAGUGACUCCUGAUAGACUGUAUAGUCCUCCUCUUGGUUAGUUUAGUGACUCCUGAUAGACUGUAUAGUCCUCCUCUUGGUUAGUGACUCCUGAUAGACUGUAUAGUCCUCCUCUUGGUUAGUGACUCCUGAUAGACUGUAUAGUCCUCCUCUUGGUUAGUGACUCCUGAUAGACAGUAUAGUCCUCCUCUUGGUUAGUUUAGUGACUCCUGAUAGACUGUAUAGUCCUCCUCUUGGUUAGGUUAGUGACUCCUGAUAGACUGUAUAGUCCUCCUCUUGGUUAGUGACUCCUGAUAGACUGUAUAGUCCUCCUCUUGGUUAGUGACUCCUGAUAGACUGUAUAGUCCUCCUCUUGGUUAGUUUAGUGAC
rnacentral:lncRNA from 1 species